AGAGUUUGAUCCUGGCUCAGAACGAACGCUGGCGGCAUGCCUAACACAUGCAAGUCGAACGAAGCCUUCGGGCUUAGUGGCGCACGGGUGCGUAACGCGUGGGAAUCUGCCCUUAGGUACGGAAUAACUCAGGGAAACUUGAGCUAAUACCGUAUAAUGACUCCGGUCCAAAGAUUUAUCGCCUGAGGAUGAGCCCGCGCCGGAUUAGCUAGUUGGUGAGGUAAAGGCCCACCAAGGCGACGAUCCGUAGCUGGUCUGAGAGGAUGAUCAGCCACACUGGGACUGAGACACGGCCCAGACUCCUACGGGAGGCAGCAGUGGGGAAUUUUGGACAAUGGGGGCAACCCUGAUCCAGCCAUUCCGCGUGAGUGAAGAAGGCCUUCGGGUUGUAAAGCUCUUUCGGCCGGGAAGAAAUCGCUCAAGUUAAUACCUUGGGUGGAUGACGGUACCGGAAGAAGAAGCACCGGCUAACUACGUGCCAGCAGCCGCGGUAAUACGUAGGGUGCGAGCGUUAAUCGGAAUUACUGGGCGUAAAGCGUGCGCAGGCGGUUUCGUAAGACAGAUGUGAAAUCCCCGGGCUUAACCUGGGAACUGCGUUUGUGACUGCGAGACUUGAGUGCGGCAGGGGGGGGUGGAAUUCCACGUGUAGCAGUGAAAUGCGUAGAGAUGUGGAGGAACACCGAUGGCGAAGGCAGCCCCCUGGGUCGACACUGACGCUCAGGCACGAAAGCGUGGGGAUCAAACAGGAUUAGAUACCCUGGUAGUCCACGCUGUAAACGAUGAUCACUCGCUGUUUGCGAUAUACAGUAAGCGGCUAAGCGAAAGCGAUAAGUGAUCCACCUGGGGAGUACGAUCGCAAGGUUGAAACUCAAAGGAAUUGACGGGGGCCCGCACAAGCGGAGGAACAUGUGGUUUAAUUCGAUGAUACGCGAGGAACCUUACCUGGGCUUAAAUGGGGAGUGACAGCUGGCGAAAGUUGGUUUUCUUCGGACACUCUUCAAGGUGCUGCAUGGUUGUCGUCAGCUCGUGCCGUGAGGUGUCGGGUUAAGUCCCAUAACGAGCGCAACCCUUACUGUUAGUUGCCAGCGGGUAGAGCCGGGAACUCUAACGGGACUGCCACCGUAAGGUGAGAGGAAGGUGGGGAUGACGUCAAAUCAGCACGGCCCUUAUGUCCAGGGCUACACACGUGUUACAAUGGCCGGUACAAAGGGCAGCUACACCGCGAGGUGAUGCUAAUCUCGAAAGCCGGUCUCAGUUCGGAUCGAAGUCUGCAACCCGACUUCGUGAAGUUGGAUUCGCUAGUAAUCGCGCAUCAGCCAUGGCGCGGUGAAUACGUUCCCGGGCCUUGUACACACCGCCCGUCAAGCCAUGGGAGCCGGGGGUACCUGAAGUCUGCAACCGCAAGGAGCGGCCUAGGGUAAAACUGGUGACUGGGGCUAAGUCGUAACAAGGUAUCC
rnacentral:rRNA from 1 species